rnacentral:lncRNA from 1 species
UUACAACUUCUAGAACACAAAGAUCUGAGUUCAAGUGAUAGGAAGUCUUUCUUUUCCUUCAGGGCUAAAACUAAAUGCUCAAUGGGAGCUACUAUACUUGAUGGUGAGCAGUUAAACAUGAUAUCCUGUGGGAACUAAGGUCAGGAACAUGAAUAUACCUGUGAAGAUGACUCCCUGAGAGUGCUCCUGAAAGUGUUCUCUGAUGGAAAUUUCAGGUUAACUGUGAUUUACAGCAUUCUACAGAAGCAGUCAUGUCAAAUACUUAAACUGGGAGGCUGGAGUACAUUAACUUCUCAGCCCAUCCAUUUCAACUACACAAGACAGGUGAAGAGCUAGCCCUAUUGAGACUGUCAGAGCAGAGCUUCACAAGAUUACACAAAAGAGGUCCCUUGUCUUCUGGAAGAUGUUGAGAAGUAUACAGUUAGGCCAUGAAUGUCACAAGAAACAUCACAGUAAGGAGGUACAGUAUGCUCAUGGUUAAAAAGGAAGAAGAGUAAGCUGCCUCUAGCUUUUUGUUUCUUUCUUCGUGUUUAUCUAUUUAAAAUGCCCCUGACUUAUUAAAAUAAUUAGCAUAAUAUGAAAAUAUUUUUGGAUUAAGUCUAAGACUGGUUAUUUUAACAAUGAAGUGAAUGAUCCUGGAUGGAGAAACAUGGGCAGAACACAGAAAAUUGCUGAAACAAAUGCAGACUAGCUAUUAAAAGGGAACUAUUUUCCGAUGGUAAAAUUGCAGAAAAAUCAUAAAUCUUCACUGAUAAUGAAAGUGCUGGGCUAAUACAAACAGUUUUUAAUAAUUUGUUCUUAUUUUAUUUUAUAAUUCAAUGUCACUUUGAAGAUUUUCAUAAAGUAUUUC